CAUGUGACCACCUACUGAGUAAGCCUGCGUUCACAUUUUCAUCCCCACCAAGGUGAAUGCUCCAGGGACUCAGUGGUUGGCACGUUACUAGAGGCCUGUUACUAGAGGCCUGCAAGGUAAAGCUUGUGUUACCACAGACUGAUGGAUUCAGAAAGCUGAUACACAGCAGGAACAGACAAGGCUGCUUCACACUAAGAGCAGGUGGUGGUGAGGUACUACACAACCCUGGAUCUCACGGGAAGCAUCACAGGGAAGACUCUUCGAGCUGUGAACAAGCCCAAAAGAGGAACUCUGAAGUGGUAGUGCAUCAUCCCCACAUAGAACCUCGGAUACCUGAUCUGUGCUUAAUAACCACAAAGAAGUGGUGCCCUUUCAACUGAGAGGCACAUACCAGUCUCCCUCGGAUAAGGAACAGAUAAUGUCCCUUACAGCUUGAUAAGUGGCUUGCAACAUCUCUAUGCUGCACUGGACCUGGACCCUGGAGCGGCCCGUGAUGAGCCAGUCAAGGUACAGUGCCAGGCCAUUGAACGGGAGGUCCUGGAUGGAUUGUUGAACCUUCAUCGAUAGGGCUGACGACUGCAACCAGGACAGCUGCCUCAUAGAAAUGCCCGAAGUCAUGGUCCAGGCCGCAGAGUCUGCCACAUCUGAGGCCACUUGGAGGGCUUCUCUCAUUGAGGAUAGCCAGGAAUUCCUUCCUGGACUCCUCUGGCAGCAAAUCCAUAAACUUGGACAUGGACU